rnacentral:rRNA from 1 species
GACGGAGGGCGCAAGCGUUGUUCGGAAUUACUGGGCGUAAAGCGCGGGCAGGCGGUCUGUUAAGUCGAUUGUGAAAACCCGGGGCUCAACCCCGGGAAUGCGUACGAUACUGGCAGGCUGGAGACCGGUAGAGGCUAGCGGAAUUCCUGGUGUAGCGGUGGAAUGUGUAGAUAUCAGGAAGAACACAUGUGGCGAAGGCGGCUAGCUGGGCCGGGUCUGACGCUCAUCCGCGAAAGCGUGGGGAGCAAACAGG